rnacentral:rRNA from 1 species
AUGGGGAAUCUUGCGCAAUGGGCGAAAGCCUGACGCAGCCAUGCCGCGUGAAUGAUGAAGGUCUUAGGAUUGUAAAAUUCUUUCACCGGGGACGAUAAUGACGGUACCCGGAGAAGAAGCUCCGGCUAACUUCGUGCCAGCAGCCGCGGUAAUACGAAGGGGGCUAGCGUUGCUCGGAAUUACUGGGCGUAAAGGGCGCGUAGGCGGACAGCUUAGUCAGAGGUGAAAGCCCAGGGCUCAACCUUGGAAUUGCCUUUGAUACUGGCUGUCUUGAGUUUGGGAGAGGUGAGUGGAACUCCGAGUGUAGAGGUGAAAUUCGUAGAUAUUCGGAAGAACACCAGUGGCGAAGGCGACUCACUGGCCCAAUACUGACGCUGAGGCGCGAAAGCGUGGGGAGCAAACAGGAUUAGAAACCCUGGUAGUCC